UGUGUAUCGGUAUAUAUAUGUGUAGAUGUUCUCUGUGUGUCAGUAUAUAUAUAUAUAUAUACACACAUACAUACAUAUAUAUAUAAUGAACUGAAAAAUUCUAGUAGUCCAGAACCUACAAUGGAAACCAGAGAGAGGCUUCCAGAAGCAGUCAUCGCAUCUCUUGAGCACCUACUAUGUGCCAGGCCCUGGGAUCUCCAGCGAGGCUCACAGCACCUGCCCGGUGGAUCUGAGGAUCCCCUUGCACAGACGUGGAAGUGAAACUUUGCCAACUUCUCACCCAGGUUGUCGCUGAGUAAGAAUGCGUCACAGUUAGAAUGGUGCUGAGUACAUAAAAGGCUGAUCAAGGAAUGCAUCCCUUAUCCUGAAUCUGCGCACUGUGGAAGAUCCGGUGUCCUGGUGGCUUUGGCUACAAUGAUGCUGAACAAAACCAAAACCUGCUCUGGGACCAACUGUGAGAACUCUUCCUGCGGGCACAGCCCCGGUCCCUUCCUGCGAUGCGACACAAGCGCAGUCCACCUGGGGCCUGCAGGCUGAGGGUCUCGGAAACGUGCAAGAAUUUCCACAUUUCCAUGUCCACAAAGGCUCCGGGAGGCUCACACUGGAGCAAACCCAUUGAGUUGAAAAGGAUUCUCAAUCGCAGAAAAACAAAACAUAGGCAAGUCUAAGACGUGGGGCUUCUGUGCUCACACCCAAAGGAUAAGAAACUGCCCAGAAAGGAAGGGGCUAGGGACACCUGCACCUCAUUUCAGAGUGCCAGCAGUGGAGUGCCACCUCUACUUCCCACCCUGGGAGGCAGCAGGGGAUGGCUCAAGUCCUUGGGCUCCUGCCACCCACAUGAGAGACCUGGAUGGAGUUCCUGGCUUGUGGCUUCCAUUUGGUGCAGCCCUAGCCAUGCAGGUAUUUGAGUGAGCCAGAAGAUGGAAGAUUCUGUGUGUGUGUGUGCGUGUGCACGUUACUCUGUUUCAAAAAAAUAAUACAGAUAAAUAAAACUUAAAAGGAAGAGUUGGAUAUAGGGCUUGCUAAGACUUCACAUGGCCACCAGAGGGCAGCAAAGACAUUGGUCAUAGAAGGCAGAGACCUAGUGCAGCUCUUCCAGUCCAGUGCAGGAGUUGGGCAGGAAAAGUAAGGAAAAGUGAGGAAAAGAAAGAAAGGACCCCCCACCCCCACCCAACUCAGGGAGCAUCACCUACACCUGGAAUCCCAGCCAUUUUUAAAAGGAUGAGUUUUGAACCUGUUCUUCAGAUCCUGUAACUUACGAGUUAGUUGUCAGAAAUUUAGAAGGACAGAAUUUAUGAAUCAAACCAUUAUCACCUGACCACACCCAGAACUGCUGGCUAACAUUUCAGUGACUGCUCUUUGGGAAAGAAGGUAGAAAUAGAUGUACAAGCCAGGACUGUGGCGUAGCAGAUAGAACUGCCACCUGCAACGCUGGCAUCCCAUGUGGGUGCCAGUUCAAGUCCCCGCUGCUCCACUUCUGAUCCAGCUCCCUGCUAAUGUACCCGGGAAAGCAGUGGAAGAUGGUCCUAGUGCUUGGGCCCCUGCACCCACGUGGGAGACUUGGAAAAACUCCUGGUUGCAGCCAUUUGGUGAGUGAACCAGCGGAUGGAAGAUUCUCUCUAACUGUGCCUCUCAAAUAAAUAAAAAUAAAUCUUUUUUUUUAAAGAAAUAGAUUUAGAUUAGAUACAGAUACACAUGUAACAUAGUCUGAUUUGAAAAAAUUGACACAUGUCAGUAUAUAUAGGUCUCCCACGUGGGUGACAGGAACCCAACCACUUGAGCCGUGUCCUGCUGCCUCCCAGGCUGUGCAUCAGCAGGAAGCUGGAUUUGGGAGCAGAGCUGGGACUUGUACUGAUUCGGAUGCGCGCAUCCUAACCUCUAGGUCAAACGUGUGCCCUGGCCCCUCAUACACCUUUUGAAGACCCCUGGAAAGUACCUAGGCAUGUGUGUGUGUGUUUGUGUGUGUACACGUGCACCCACACGGAUGUAUCCUUGGGUCCAGGUGUCUCUGGCUCAACUGUGAGGCUUGGCAGGGCUGGGCGCCACUUCGCAGAGCCAGGGGACUGAGGGGCCGGUGGUCAGGAGCAGGGUCCUUUAGGUUCAGUGCUUGCCCCGCGGGGUCUCAGCCUCUUGACAAAUCGGCGGAAGGCACAUGUGUAGCCUUUUGCUCAAAAAUAGUCCACAGUGUGAGCAGGUGCGCAGAGUUCGUUGAAUUCCCCCCAAAUGAGUCACUCUGAAGGUGUGAAGGAGGCGCACGGUUUAAGGAGUUACCACUUCCUGGUUCCACACAGGGACCCCGUCGUUCAGGCCAGACCAGGCACCCAUGCUGGGAGAGGGCCAGGCGGCAGCAGCGGCUGUGCCUUUUUUCUCUCCCUACAAAGCCUCCACCCCAUCUCUUUGUCUCCGGAAGUGACUGCUUCUUCCCGGAGGGAGACAGCAGCAGCCUCCUUCCCUGCGACCCACUCGCUCACCAUCCAAAGAAAACCCCACCCAAAGUGCAGUGGAGCCCACACGGGGUCUUCCGGGGAACACGGGCGCCCGCCCGGUGAAGGGGGCCAUCCCCUCUCCCUGAUUAUUCCAGCGAGCGCGUGGGACAGCCUUGAUCCCCUCCCCGCCCCAGAAAUUCUCUCUGCUGUGGGAUUCGGAGUUGGGACAAAUCUGGUUUUGAGUCUCAGUUGCAUCUCACCCUAAUUGUGUGAUGGGGCUUCAAAACGCACAUGGAACGAGGCUGUUCCAAAGUCUAGGCGGGCUUGCCACCCGCUCUGCAUCCUGGUCGUGCGCAAGGGACAGUGGCAGCACGUGUGCGCCCCAUGCUUUUGGGUCUGUCAUGCUCACGUUCUCAGCUCUCCUGAGCCUAGCCAGGCGCAUGCGGCCGUGGGCGGCGGCGUGGGAGGGGCAUCCCAGAGAAGGAAAGGGAAGAGGCCUUCCGAGCACCGAGCAGAGGCCCCCAGACUCAGUGCAGCCGGGUGCUCACCCUGCUCUGUUAGAAUUGAUCAGGGGUGGGCAUGUGGCACCGUGGUGAAGACGUCAACUGGGACACCCACGUCCACAUUAGAGAACCUGGUUCAAGUCCCAGCUUAGCUGCCAAUUCCGGUUCUUGCUAAUGCAGACCCUGGGAGGCAGCAAAGGACGGCCCAAGCACUUGGGUCUCUGCCUCCCACAUGGGAGACCCAGAGAGUUCCUGGCUCCCUGCUGCAGCCCCUGCUGGGGCCCACUGAGGGCCAUUUGGGAGUGAACCAGGGGAUAGGAGCUCUCUCUCUCCCUCUGCCUCUCAAAUAAACAAAUAAGUAAUGUUAGGAUUAAUUUAUCUAUUUGAAAGGCAAAAGAGAGAGAGAGAGAGAGAGAGAGAGAGAGAAUCUUCCAUCUGCUGCUUUGCUCCCAAACAGCCAAGAAGUCACAAGUACUUGACCCAUCCUCUGCACAUUAGCAGGGAGCUGGACUGGAAGUGGAGCAGCCUGGGCUCAAGCUGCCGCUCCAGUAUGGGAUGUGGGAGUCACGGGUGGGAGAGUUAAGAUACAGAAAGCACGGAAGCAGUGGGUACUGGAGCAGGUGCAGAAAACUAAAGAAAGAGACACGUUGUGGGGGGCGGGUGGGGAUCUACGGUGAGCACAGUGAAAUGGACAGAACUGUGCACUUUGCAUCCCAGCAUCGGUGCCUAUGAGCCCCCAGCCUCCUGAAACCAGCUGGGAAUGACAAGGAGGGACCUGGAUGGAUGGAGGGGAGGAGCUUGGCCUCGCCCUCAUUAGGGGAACGCGCUACAGGAGAAGGGGUCCGGGAGAUAACUGCUGUCUGCCACAAAGGACAAAUCAGAGCACGCAUGUGUCCACCUGACUGGGUCCCAAGGCGCCCAUGUGAAACUCCUUCUGGGGGUCUGUGAGGGUGCUUCCUAGAGACCAGCACCUGGCCUGGUGGACUCAGUAAGCAGCAGCUCAUCUGCAGAGCGGGGCGUCCAGGCCUCGCUGGUUGGCCUGGGAAGGCUCAUCGCCAGGUUCCCCUGAAUGGCACCUCCGGGGCCCACAGUCUACAGGGGGCCGAUCCCACGCUUCUCAGCCCACACCGAUACAUGCACCGAGUCCACGUGGUAACUCGAUCUCACUCUCCCUCUAUGAACACAUGCACACUCACCUACGUGUGCAUAUGUACAUGUGUGUUUAUAUGUACAUAUGUGUGUGCAUUCGUGUGUGCCUGGACACAUAUGUGCAGAUAUGGCCGUGCACUUCUCAGCUCUGUUUCUCUGGAGGACCCUAACGGACCCACUGAUGCAGGAAUGAUUGAACAAGGGGAGGGCUGCGCGUGUCGCCCUGUGGUGUGCGAGUCUGCUCCAGCAGACCUGGGCUCAGCAAGUGCCGAUUUACCGAAACGGCCACUCACUCCCGCGCAGCUCCGACGCCAGGCUGGGGCACUGAACGUGCUGCCUGAACAGCGUUGUUUCGUAGCCACGGUCAGAGGGCUUCAGGGGAGUCUGUACCACCUCGUCAGCAGCGCUUUGUCCUGCUGUGUUUACUGGUAACGGUGAGGUUGAUCACUGGUGUCUGGCUUUGAUGGGAGCCCUGGAGGACGCUGCUGUUGGGGGGGGGAGAAAGCAAGGAACCUGCCUCCGUGAACACAAGGCGCAGGCCCUGGGGGGGCCCAAGGAGGGCUGUGACACGGCUGCGGUGCGAGAGAAAGUGUGCCCCGCGUGGACUUCCAGAGCGGGGGCAGCCGGCAUUUUCACUGGUCUCUCUGCCUCCCUCGCUCACUGCACCGCACUAAAUGGCUGCAGCGGCUUUGUCGGCGUGGAUCUUCUCUAGUGAUCACUGCUCAUGCAAGCGGCACAGUAAGCAGCUGUGGCUUUCUUUAAAAAAUUGAUUUAUUUUAUUUAUUCUUAAGGCAGAGUUACAGAGAGAGAGGGAGAGGGAGAGACAGAGAGAGAGAGAGAGAGAGAGAGAGAGAGAGAGAGAUCUUCCACCUGCUGGUUCACUCCCUAAAUGUGCACAAAAAGUCAGGGUUGGGCCAGACUGAAUCCAGGGCCAGGAGCUUCUUCUGGGUCUCCCGCGUGGUGCAGGGGCCCAAGCACUUGGACCAUCUUCUUUCCCAGGCACAUUAGCAGGGAGCUGGAUUGUAAGUGGGGCUUCAAAUCAGCGCCCAUAUGGGAUGCCAGUGUUGCAGGCAGUGGUUUUACCCUGUAUGCCACAGCACUGGCCCCUGCACAUGGCAUGGUAACAGCUGUAGCUUUCUAAAAGGCACAAGGUCUACCCAUGUAGCCUGCAAGAAGGCCCAUGGUGUACAUAAAAUGAGCGAGGUAUAGACUAAUAUGGAAAACAUGUUUGUGUAAAUACACGAUUUCACCUCUAUUCCUUUUGAAUGUGUGGUGCUGGAUGGAGUUGUAGAAAAUUAGGGGGAAACAAGGAAGCAGGUGGAGCAAAUUGUAAGUGAUGGUUACCUUAGGGAGGGGUGUAUGGACUGCGAGAGUGGGGCCUAGAGGGUCAGACCCUUGCUAUGGUCUCAAUGUUUUUGUCCUCUCCAAAAUUCAUGUGGCA